AAAAACAAGUCACUGAUCAUUUCAAGAUGGCGUCAUGUGAGCGGUGAGCGGCGGUGGGCACUCCAAGUUGUUUUACGUUAGCUUCUUUUAUCUCGGGCCUCUUUUGAAAGGGUUUGAUUUGCCGUUUGAGAAAUGCAGCUUUCAUACUCGAGGAGACGGGGACUUCGGAGUACUUCAAACAACGGUAAAGGCCCAGGCAACCUCCAUGUGUGAAACCUAACCUGUUAACCUGUCAAUCACUUGAUCUGUGAUGCAUCUUCUCGCUGCCGGGAGGCGGAUUAUGCGUUACAUUGAAGAUGGAAGUGGUUUCAGCAUUGCGCUUGAAAGUACACGAGUUCACACCAUACUAAGUGCAGCCUGUGCAGUAUGCAGAGACCAGGCUCAAGAAAGUUUUUAACGAUAUUUAUAACAACUGAAGACAUUCAGCGCAUCAUUGCAUUGGUACUGCUGGUUGUUGUAAAUUUAUGUGAGAAUUGCUGCAUACAACAGGGAGCAACAGAUGGCUAAUGAAGACGCUCGAAAGUACUACAGAGUUCACAUUAUGCGUCCUGCAGCCUGUGAGGUACACAGAAGCCUGGCUCGAGAAAUGUGUGUUAUAGUUCACAAGGAGGACAAUUGUUUCUGACAACCCAGGACAUUUCGUGCGUAAUCGUAGCAACAUGUGUCCGGUGGAGUCUUUAAUAGGCUUAGCUGGAGUCUUUUUGUGGAUUUACAUGAAAAUCACUGCACACAACAAUAUCUUGGGGCUAAGACUUCAGAGCAAUGGUUCGUCACUUCACGAGGGACCAACGGAUGGCUAUGUAAGAAUUGAGAUGCAAGUUGAAGAAAACUGUGAUUUUAUAUCUGGGCACUACUGUACUGGUUUGUGAGCUAUGGUGCUCAAUAAAGAACUGUAUUAGUCACAGUACUGUUUUAGAUUUAUU